UAGGGAAUCUUCCACAAUGGACGAAAGUCUGAUGGAGCAACGCCGCGUGAGUGAAGAAGGUUUUCGGAUCGUAAAGCUCUGUUGUUGGUGAAGAAGGAUAGAGGCAGUAACUGGUCUUUAUUUGACGGUAAUCAACCAGAAAGUCACGGCUAACUACGUGCCAGCAGCCGCGGUAAUACGUAGGUGGCAAGCGUUGUCCGGAUUUAUUGGGCGUAAAGCGAGCGCAGGCGGAAUGAUAAGUCUGAUGUGAAAGCCCACGGCUCAACCGUGGAACUGCAUCGGAAACUGUCAUUCUUGAGUGCAGAAGAGGAGAGUGGAACUCCAUGUGUAGCGGUGGAAUGCGUAGAUAUAUGGAAGAACACCAGUGGCGAAGGCGGCUCUCUGGUCUGCAACUGACGCUGAGGCUCGAAAGCAUGGGUAGCGAACAGGAUUAGAUACCCUGGUAGUCCAUGCCGUAAACGAUGAGCGCUAGGUGUUGG
rnacentral:rRNA from 1 species